rnacentral:rRNA from 1 species
UGCAAAUUGGAUCGCCCUGAGCCAACCAGCUAGCUUAAUCACUUAAAUAAUUUAACAAUAUUCAUAACAAUACAAGACCUAACAACACAAACUAAACCAUUUUUUUACCUGAGUAUGGGAGACAGAAAAGGUUCAACCAAAGCAAUAGAGAAAGUACCGCAAGGAAAGCUGAAAGAGAAAUGAAAUAACCAUAUAAGCACCGAGAAACAAAGACUAAACCUUGUACCUUUCGCAUCAUGAUUUAGCCAGUACCCUCAAGCAAAGAGACCUUUAGUUUGAUACCCCGAAACCAGGUGAGCUACCCCGAGACAGCCUAUAUAAUUUAGGGCUAACCCGUCUCUGUGGCAAAAGAGUGGGAAGAGCUCCGGGUAGAAGUGACAGACCUACCGAACCUGGUGAUAGCUGGUUGCCUGAGAAAUGGAUAGAAGUUCAGCCUCGCACGCCCCAAAUCAGGGAACAUAUCACCAAGAUAACAUGGGAAAAGUACGAGAGUUAGUUGAAGGGGGUACAGCCCCUUUAACAAAGGAUACAACCUUCACAGGAGGAUAAAGAUCAUAAUAUUUAAGACACACUGUUCUAGUGGGCCUGAAAGCAGCCACCUAAACAGAAAGCGUUAAAGCUCAGACAGAAGGAAAUUUAUUAUACCGAUAAAAAAUCUUACUCCCCUAAUUAUAUUAGGCCGACCCAUGCCUACAUGGAAGAGAUUAUGCUAAAAUGAGUAACAAGAAGACCCGAUCUUCUCCCGCCACAAGUGUAAGCCAGAUCGGACCAACCACUGGAAAUUAACGAGCCCAACCCAAGAGGGUAAUGUGAAUAAUAAAAACCUCAAGAAGACCUCACAAUCAAGCAUCGUUAACCCCACACUGGAGUGCCAUUUAAGGGAAAGACUAAAAGAAGGGGAAGGAACUCGGCAAACACAAGCCUCGCCUGUUUACCAAAAACAUCGCCUCCUGCAACUAGACUGAGUAUAGGAGGUCCAGCCUGCCCAGUGACUACGGGUUCAACGGCCGCGGUAUUUUGACCGUGCAAAGGUAGCGCAAUCACUUGUCUCUUAAAUAGAGACCUGUAUGAAUGGCUAGACGAGGGCUUAACUGUCUCCCCCCUCCAGUCAGUGAAAUUGAUCUAUCCGUGCAGAAGCGGGUGUAAUACUACAAGACGAGAAGACCCUUUGGAGCUUAAGGUACAAAUUUAACCACGUUAAACAACUCAAUAAGAACUUAGUGGCCAUGAAAUUUUACCUUCGGUUGGGGCGACCACGGAGGAAAAAUAAGCCUCCGAGUGGAUUGGGCCAAACCCCUAAAGCCAAGAGAAACAUCUUUAAGCCACAGAACAUCUGACCAAUAAUGAUCCGACUAGAAAGCCGAUCAACGAACCAAGUUACCCUAGGGAUAACAGCGCAAUCCUCUCCCAGAGCCCAUAUCGACGAGGGGGUUUACGACCUCGAUGUUGGAUCAGGACAUCCUAAUGGUGCAGCCGCUAUUAAGGGUUCGUUUGUUCAACGAUUAAAGUCCUACGUGAUCUGAGUUCAGACCGGAGCAAUCCAGGUCAGUUUCUAUCUGUAACGCUACUUUUUCCAGUACGAAAGGAUCGAAAAAGAGGGGCCUAUGCUUAAGGCAUGCCCCGCCCCUAAUUGAUGAAAACAAAUAAAUUAAGUAAAGGGAGGGCCAAAGCCCUACCGCCCAAGAUAAGGGCA